GGAGGAGCUGCUACUCAAGAAAGAGGAAGAGGCGGGCUUUUCCGACCCCCACGCCCCUGGGAUGGUAAAGCUGCAGCCCACCUCGUCCUGGGGCAGAGUCUCCUUGCCUGCCUGCUUGCAUCGCUCACCAGCGUCCUAUCCUAACACCUCUGUUUCGUGCCUAUCACUUUGUCUCUCGCUGAAUUCCUUCUGCGUGGAGACAUAGAGAACCUCAACCUCAGUGAGUCCAGACGCAGGAGGAGAGCGUUUCCCAGACUCCUUGCCCCUGAGUGAGGAUACGUGCCUGGUUCUGGCCAAGGGGCUGUGGCUGAUACAGCAGGUGUCACUCUGAGUCAAAGCAAAGGAUGUGCAGACAUGAAGUCUCCACGCUCUCUCUUCUUCACCCCUUGUCUCAAGGUGUCAGAGGCACCAGCUUAUGAGGGAUGUAUGAUUGUCAGCACCUCCACUUUACGGAAGAGGACACCUGGGUAUGAUGAUAAGCUGCCCAAGGUCCCAUAUCUGGUGCUUCAUAAUCCUGGCAAAGCCACUAAGCUGAGCAGAGCUGCAGAAAUUCCCUGGCUUUCCUACUGGAAGAUGUCGAUCAAUGAGGGCGCUCGCGGCCUUUGAUGUCAGGCAUCCACGCCCGCUUCUGUAAAGACUUUCGGCUCCACAAGAGAACGGGAAGUCACUGUGAAGAAAGAGGCAGGCGAUGUAACCGGAAAAGCGCGGGUUUGAUGUCAAACAGACCUGCGUGGUUCCACCGCUUUCCGACUGUGUGACACCUCCCUCCCCCACCCCCGGCCCAGUUGCUCUCUGAACCCAAGUCUUGGAAAAUGGAACCAAUAAUACCUGUUCUUCAAGACUGUUCCUGCUGGAAGCUCCAAGAUUCAUCUGAAGGCGUGAUCACAUCCUCAAUGUUGAGUGGACUAUGAACCGGCUGCCAGAGACAGGGUUCCAAGCCGGGCCAGGCCCAUCCCAAUGCCCACCCGAAAAGACGGGACAGAGGAAAGAAAGAAACAAAAUCCUGGGGCUCCAUUGGCUUUCUUUUUGACUCCAGCUGAAGUUGCUGCAUAGUGUGGCCUUGCCAGUCCUCGCCUUGAAAAGGCUGGAAGCGACUGCCGUGAUGGAUCAUCUAAUCCCACAGCCUCAUUCUGCAGAGGACCCCGAGCCUCGACUUGGCCAAGGUCACACAGCUGGGCCACACCCAUGGCGUAUGGUUUUCACAUGGAAUCGGAGCUGCAGUUGCCGGCCUAUGCCACAGCCACAGCAAGGUAGGAUCUGAGCCAAGUCUUUGACCUACACCACAUCUCACGGCAAUUCCAGAUCCCUGGACCCACUGAGUGAGGCCAGGGAUUGAACACGCACCCUUAUGGAUACUAGUUGGAUCACAACGGAACUCCCUGAAAAAUCAAGGUCUUUAAAGCAAUUCAUCAACCCCACCAACAUCUUGGCAUAAGAAAAUUGAUUCUGUAAGUCAAAAGAACUUAUAACAUGGUAUAUUGGGAGGAUGGCAGGGCUUGGUAAGUGGUAGCAACGCAGCUGGUAGAUUUUUCUUUGUUGUGUCCUUGUCCUUACGCUCUUUUAGCCACAUUUUCAUUCAGGAUUCUUGGGUUGGAAGCAACAGAAAUGGACUCUUUUGGCCUUAAGCAAAAAGAAAAUUUGUUGAAAGGGCAUGGAGGAGUUCAUAGGAUUGACUAGAAGUUUGGAGAAGUAGGCUCAGGAGUCAAGGCAUUUAUAGAGGAGGGUAGGGUAGAGAGGUGAUAAAAAUAAUGCAACGGUCUUAUUUGGAAAUUGUACUGGAAUGUAAGAGUUUCAUCUUUCCUCCUCCCUCCCUCUCUCUCUCUUUCUGCCACUUCAUUCGAGAUUCCAAUUUCAGCGAAGGAGCAUCCAAUUGGCCUGUCUUGGUCAGAUUCCCACCACCCCCAUGGUUAGGGGAACACAGCAUAUUCGAAAUGGCAUUCCCAUGAGGUACAUUCCAUGGAAAAGUAAUACCACAAAGAAAAUAUGGACACAGUUAUCAAAGGAAGAUAAAACAGGUGCUGGGUAGCCAACAAUAGCCUAUUUCCACUAUAUCCUUUAAAAAAAAUCCCAGUAACUCUUCUAUGAUUACUGAUUUUUCAGGAGAGAAAUUUAACAAUGGAAGAGUGUAUACAUAGUGAUGAAAAGAAUGGGAGGAUUUAUAAGAUACAAGUCAUUUUCUUUGAGUUGUGGGACAAUGGUUGGGUCCAUUUUUCUUCUGUUGUUUUUUCCUAUAGAGCACAUUUAUAACCUUUUAAAAGUAAACUAUAUUUUCUACUUUAAGAUGAGUGAAAUGAGGGGGGAGUGUCCCUUUUGACUGGGGACAUAGUCACUAGUUACUCUAUGUUAAUAACAGAAGCAUACAUUCCUCUCGAGGGGCAACAGUGUUCUUAUACAUUAAACUCUCAACAGAAACCAAAAGAACCACCACCAAAAAAAUCCCACCCAGUUUGGAAAGGACUUGUGCUUGUGGGUCGGGGGCAGAAGGAAGCAAUUUCCCUCCAUUUUCUGCCUGAGCAGGCCUUUUGCACUUUGAUAUUCGUUUCACUAAUAAGGUGUUUCAUUAUUUCUCCCACAAAAAGAGCUGGUGCUGUUAUGAGAUGCUGUUGAAGACUCUGGUUUGCCCAGAUGUGCCGCAGUGAAAACAGCCUUUCUCUGACGUGCAUGACUUGUGAGGAUGAUGGGACCUGUGGGAAGAGGGGAUCCUUUUUCAGAGUUUGGAAAGAGAGACAAAAUAACGCCAUCUGCCCUGCAUGGCUGACAGAAACACAUUCUUCCCUAAUCAGUGGGUCACUCACUUCCGCACUAUGUUGCAGGGAAGCAUCAUCUGAUUCCAAGCCUAAGGCUGGGUCAUCCGCGGCACUGACUUCUCCCGACCCUUCUCCGAGCUUCCCGUGCCAGUUUUCAUCAUCAAAUUUCUCUGCUCCCUUGGACCAGCGGAAAAGAAGUUAUGAGCUCUCUCCAUCAUUCGCCGGUCUCUUCGGCCCUUCCUCCUUUGAAGUUUUCUUAUUCGGGGUCUUUUUUCGCUUCUUCUCCAUGUUUCAUCCUCUCUCACUGUAACCUUUUUAUCUCUGGAGAGUUCUCUCUGUGCCUCUGGGCCCUUCUCUUUCUAGUUGGUUCUCAGAACCCAUUCUGGGAUUCUAUUUCAGUCCAUCCGUCUCUCCAACAGACCACGGGUGAAACCAGGGCCGGUAAUCAGUCCCAGCUGCUGGAGGCGUCCGCUCUGGGUCGGCCCCACGUUUGUGGGCUGAUGUUUUGCUUCCCAUAAUGCUCUGGGAGUACUGCUGCUCAGAGCUUGGCUUGUGCUUUUUCUUCUCCUGCCAAGGGGCCCUGCUUCCAAAACCCAGAUUAGAAAACAUGGGACGUUAAAAAAAAAAAAAAAAA
rnacentral:lncRNA from 1 species